UAGGGAAUCUUCGGCAAUGGACGGAAGUCUGACCGAGCAACGCCGCGUGAGUGAAGAAGGUUUUCGGAUCGUAAAGCUCUGUUGUUAGAGAAGAACGUUGGUAGGAGUGGAAAAUCUACCAAGUGACGGUAACUAACCAGAAAGGGACGGCUAACUACGUGCCAGCAGCCGCGGUAAUACGUAGGUCCCGAGCGUUGUCCGGAUUUAUUUGGCGUAAAGCGAGCGCAGGCGGUUCUUUAAGUCUGAAGUUAAAGGCAGUGGCUUAACCAUUGUACGCUUUGGAAACUGGAGGACUUGGGUGCAGAAGGGGAGAGUGGAAUUCCAUGUGUAGCGGUGAGAUGCGUAGAUAUAUGGAGGAACACCGGUGGCGAAAGCGGCUCUCUGGUCUGUAACUGACGCUGAGGCUCGAAAGCGUGGGGAGCAAACAGG
rnacentral:rRNA from 1 species